rnacentral:tRNA from 1 species
GCAGUAGUGUUUCAGUGGUAGAAUUCCUGCCUUCCAUACAGGAGACCUGUGUUUAAUUCCCAGCCAGUGCA